AGCGAACGUUGCGGCGGGCCUAACACAUGCAAGUCGAACGGGCUAGCAAUAGUCAGUGGCGCACGGGUGCGUAACACGUGGGUAAUCAACCCUUCAGCUCGGGAUAACGCCUUGAAAGGGGCGCUAAUACCGGAUGCGACGCGAGGAGCCUCGGCGCUUCGCGGGAAAGAUUCGCAAGGGAUCACUGAAGGCGAGCCUGCGGCCCAUCAGCUAGUUGGUGAGGUAAGAGCUCACCAAGGCGAAGACGGGUAGCUGGUCUGAGAGGAUGAUCAGCCACACUGGAACUGAGACACGGUCCAGACUCCUACGGGAGGCAGCAGUGGGGAAUAUUGCGCAAUGGGCGAAAGCCUGACGCAGCCACGCCGCGUGAGCGAUGAAGGCC
rnacentral:rRNA from 1 species